GGCCCUGUAGCGCAUUGGUAGCGCAUCUGCAUGUCGUAGUUGCUUGUUCAUAUACUCCAUAGCAGAUUUGCACCCUGUUCGAACCAGGUCGGGGCCA